AUACGGAGGGUGCAAGCGUUAUCCGGAAUCAUUGGGUUUAAAGGGUCCGUAGGCGGGCGAUUAAGUCAGAGGUGAAAUCCCACAGCUCAACUGUGGAACUGCCUUUGAUACUGGUUGUCUUGAGUUAUAGUGAAGUAGAUAGAAUGUGUAGUGUAGCGGUGAAAUGCAUAGAUAUUACACAGAAUACCGAUUGCGAAGGCAGUCUACUAACUAUUGACUGACGCUAAUGGACGAAAGCGUGGGGAGCGAACAGGAUUAGAAACCCUUGUAGUCC
rnacentral:rRNA from 1 species